rnacentral:rRNA from 1 species
AACACUUGGAAACAGGUGCUAAUACCGUAUAACAACAAAAUCCGCAUGGUUUUUGUUUGAAAGGUGGCUUCGGCUAUCACUUCUGGAUGAUCCCGCGGCGUAUUAGUUAGUUGGUGAGGUAAAGGCCCACCAAGACGAUGAUACGUAGCCGACCUGAGAGGGUAAUCGGCCACAUUGGGACUGAGACACGGCCCAAACUCCUACGGGAGGCAGCAGUAGGGAAUCUUCCACAAUGGACGAAAGUCUGAUGGAGCAAUGCCGCGUGAGUGAAGAAGGGUUUCGGCUCGUAAAACUCUGUUGUUAAAGAAGAACACCUUUGAGAGUAACUGUUCAAGGGUUGACGGUAUUUAACCAGAAAGCCACGGCUAACUACGUGCCAGCAGCCGCGGUAAUACGUAGGUGGCAAGCGUUGUCCGGAUUUAUUGGGCGUAAAGCGAGCGCAGGCGGUUUUUUAAGUCUGAUGUGAAAGCCUUCGGCUUAACCGGAGAAGUGCAUCGGAAACUGGGAGACUUGAGUGCAGAAGAGGACAGUGGAACUCCAUGUGUAGCGGUGGAAUGCGUAGAUAUAUGGAAGAACACCAGUGGCGAAGGCGGCUGUCUAGUCUGUAACUGACGCUGAGGCUCGAAAGCAUGGGUAGCGAACAGGAUUAGAUACCCUGGUAGUCCAUGCCGUAAACGAUGAGUGCUAAGUGUUGGAGGGUUUCCGCCCUUCAGUGCU